GGGAUUGCCCCAGUAACGGCGAGUGAAGCGGCAACAGCUCAAAUUUGAAAUCUGGGGUCUUUUUGGGCCUCCGAGUUGUAAUUUGCAGAGGGUGCCUCGGAGGGCGAGUCGGUCCAAGUGCCUUGGAACAGGAUACCGCAGAGGGUGAGAGUCCCGUAUCCGGCCGGCGAUGCGCUCCGUGUGAGGUCCCUUCGACGAGUCGAGUUGUUUGGGAAUGCAGCUCCAAGCGGGUGGUAAAUUCCAUCUAAAGCUAAAUACUGGCCAGAGACCGAUAGCGAACAAGUAGAGUGAUCGAAAGAUGAAAAGCACUUUGAAAAGAGAGUCAAACAGUACGUGAAAUUGUUGAAAGGGAAGCGCAUGGGGGCAGACUUGGCCGCGGGGUUCAGGGUGCGUUCUCGCGCCUGUACUUCCCCGCGGACAGGCCAGCAUCGGUUCCGGGGGCCGGACAAAGGCGUUGGGAAGGUGGCAGCCUUCGGGGUGUGUUAUAGCCCGACGCGCAAUGCGGCCACCUGGGACCGAGGACCGCGCCUUGUGCAAGGAUGCUGGCGUAAUGGCCUCAUGCGGCCCGUCUUGAAACACGGACCAAGGAGUCUAACAUCUAUGCGAGUGUUUGGGUGUCAAGCCCGGGCGCGCAAUGAAAGUGAACGGAGGUGGGAUUUCUGUACGGAAAGCACCAUCGACCGAUCCGGACGUCUUCUGAAGGAUUUGAGUAAGAGCAUAGCUGUUGGGACCCGAAAGAUGGUGAACUAUGCGUGAAUAGGGUGAAGCCAGAGGAAACUCUGGUGGAGGCUCGCAGCGG
rnacentral:rRNA from 2 species